CAAGACAGCUACCAGUUUGGCAAUUUGUAUUUCAAGGGUCUGCAGGAGAGGGAGCGGGAUAACCCUUUAUUAAAGAGUGGAUUCCGCAAGUGGGCAGACACUUAUGCACAGUUUGAGGGCACAUUCAGGAUGGAUUAUGCUGCGGCGCACAAGAAAGUGUCGGAGCUAGGCAUGAACGCAGCAACGUCAGGGAAGGGAGGCACACGAACUGAUCAAAAGUCUUCAGCAACUGGCACUGGGAAUCGUGCCAAGUUGGUGCAGCGCAUCGGAAUUG